AGGAAAACAGUGAGAAAACCUGAAUCUGUUUAAAAGUUUUGAGAUCCUGGUCUUGCAUCUGAUUCCAUAAUUAGAAAGAAUUGGCGCAGAUAGAAAUGUUACCUUACCUCUCUCAAGAGCAUCAUCUAUAUAAAAAACUCUGAAAAAUGACCCAGGUAAGAGAGUGGUGGGAGCUUUGAUUGGAUCAUCCAGAAACAUAUGGAGAACCACAAAAGGCUCAAAGAUUCUACAUGCCAACAAGCAAUAAAUGGAGAGAGUCAGCAGUGGAACAGAAAUAUUUGACUGAGUCAAGAAUGUCUUGUGUACCACAAACACAACAACAUAUCACAAUAAACUGAAUGCAAAAGCAAAUAUAAGAACCCAGGAGUUUGUCAUUGGAGUUGAUAAUAAAGUUUUUCAAAAAUGUAAAGCA
rnacentral:lncRNA from 1 species